CUCUGAGCCGGUUCACAUCACUAACCAGCUUCUGAUACGCUGAAAGCCAGAGCAAUAAAGUAUUGUAAAAGCUUGCUAGAGAGGCACAGGAAGUUGCCUGUAAAGGGGGCGUGGCGUCGGAAAAUAAGUUUCCGCCAAACGAAGGAAAAUAGCGCUUCCGGUUACGCCAUCGUUGUGUCGGGGCUUUCUUCACUGAGGAAAAUGUUUUCCCCAGGGCCCUGAAAGACAAGAAGUAUGAGUGAACAAAAGGGGAAGUCAUAGAAGGAUUUUCCACCUCGAAAGACCAAAAUGCAUUCCCAGCUCAAUUUGGAAAGAUCUAAGGACAAAGGGAUCGAGGAAGAAAUUCUCUUAGGUGAGCAAAGAAGGGAGAAUGAAACAGGCUCUGCUCUUGCCAGAGGGACUGGAGCCAUGGCUCAGAAAAUGGACUGUGGUGCGGGCCUCCUCGGCUUCCAGGCUGAGGCCUCCGUAGAAGACAGCACCUUGCUUAUGCAGACCCUGAUGGAGGCCAUCCAGAUCUCAGAGGCUCCACCUACCAACCAGGCCACAGCAGCUGGGCUGAAUGCUAGUGCCCAGAGUUCACAGCCCCCAACAUCCAGUGAGAUGGCUGAUAUUCAGGUUUUGGCAGCUGCCACUAGGCCCAAAACAGCCUUUAAGGCUCAGAAUGCCACCACAAAAGGCCCAAAUGGUGCCUAUGAUUUCUCUCAGGCUCUUAAUGCCAAGGAGAUGCCCAAUGUACCACCUAAGGCAGCCUUUAAGUCCCAGAAUGCCACCCUAAAGGGCCCAAAUGCUGCCUAUGAUUUUUCCCAGGCAGCAACCACCAGUGAAUUAACUGCUAACAAGUCCGAGAUGGCCUUUAAGGCCCAGAAUGCCACUACUAAGGUGGGCCCAAAUGCCACCUACAAUUUCUCUCAGUCUCUCAGUGCCACUGAGAUGGUUAAUGCUCAACCUAAGACAGCCUUUAAGGCUUGGAAUGACACCACUAAGGCCCCAACAGUUGAUACCCAGACCCAGAAUAUUAACCAAGCCAAGAUGGCCACUUCCCAGACUGAGGUAGAGACCAACCCAGGUAUCCCUGAAUCUGAUGGUGCAGCUGCACAGACAUCAGCAGAUGGUUCCCCUGCUCAGAAUCUGGAGUCCAGGACUAUAAUUCGGGGCAAGAGGACCCGCAAGAUUAAUAACUUGAAUGUGGACGAGAACAGCAAUGGGGAUCAGAGGCGGGCCCCACUGGCUACAGGGACGUGGAGGUCUGCACCUGUUCCAGUUACCACUCAGAACCCACCUGGCGCACCCCCCAAUGUGCUCUGGCAGACCCCAUUGGCCUGGCAGAACCCAUCAGGCUGGCAAAACCAGCCAGCCAGGCAGACCCCACCAGCACGUCAGAGUCCCCCAGCUAGGCAGACCCCACCAGCCUGGCAAAACCCGGUUGCUUGGCAGAACCCAGUGAUCUGGCCGAACCCAGUGAUCUGGCAAAAUCCAGUGAUCUGGCCAAACCCCAUUGUCUGGCCCGGUCCAGUUGUCUGGCCAAACCCACUGGCCUGGCAGAAUCCACCUGGAUGGCAGACCCCACCUGGAUGGCAGAACCCACCAGGCUGGCAGGGUCCUCCAGAUUGGCAGGGCCCUCCUGACUGGCCACUACCACCUGACUGGCCUCUACCACCUGAUUGGCCACUUCCCACUGACUGGCCACUCCCACCUGACUGGAUCCCCACUGAUUGGCCAGUUCCACCUGACUGGCAGAACCUGCGGCCCUCACCAAACCUGCGCCCCUCUCCCAAUUCACGUGCCUCACAGAACCUGGGUGCCUCACAGCCCCGAGAUGUGGCCCUUCUUCAGGAAAGAGCAAAUAAGUUGGUCAAGUACCUGAUGCUUAAAGAUUAUACCAAGGUGCCCAUUAAGCGCUCAGAAAUGCUGAGGGAUAUCAUCCGUGAAUACACUGAUGUUUAUCCAGAAAUCAUUGAACGUGCAUGCUUUGUCCUGGAGAAGAAAUUUGGGAUUCAACUGAAGGAGAUCGACAAAGAAGAACACCUGUAUAUUCUCAUCAGCACCCCCGAGUCCCUGGCUGGCAUAUUGGGAACGACCAAAGACACACCCAAGCUGGGUCUCCUCUUAGUGAUAUUGGGCGUUAUCUUCAUGAAUGGCAACCGUGCCAGUGAAGCUGUCCUCUGGGAGGCACUACGCAAGAUGGGACUGCGUCCUGGUGUGAGACAUCCUCUUCUUGGAGAUCUGAGGAAACUUCUCACUUAUGAGUUUGUAAAACAAAAGUACCUGGAUUACAGACGAGUGCCCAACAGCAACCCUCCUGAGUAUGAGUUCCUCUGGGGCCUCCGUUCCUACCAUGAAACUAGCAAGAUGAAAGUGCUGAGAUUCAUUGCAGAGGUUCAGAAAAGAGAUCCUCGUGACUGGACUGCACAGUUCAUGGAGGCUGCAGAUGAGGCCUUGGAUGCUCUGGAUGCUGCUGCAGCUGAGGCUGAGGCCCGGGCUGAGGCGAGAACCCGCAUGGGGAUUGGAGAUGAGGCCGUAUCUGGGCCCUGGAGCUGGGAUGACAUUGAAUUUGAGCUGCUGACCUGGGAUGAGGAAGGAGAUUUUGGCGAUCCCUGGUCUAGAAUCCCAUUUACCUUCUGGGCCAGAUACCACCAGAAUGCCCGCUCCCGAUUUCCUCAGACCUUCACUGGCCCCAUUAUUGGCCCUGGUGGUACAGCCAGCACCAACUUUGCUGCCAACUUUGGUGCCAUUGGUUUCUUCUGGGUUGAGUGAGAUGUUGGGUAGGUAUAUCACU
rnacentral:lncRNA from 12 species